rnacentral:tRNA from 1 species
GGGAAUGUAGCUCAGUGGUAGAGUGCUUGCCUAGCAUGCAUGAGACCCUGGGUUCAAUUCCUCUGUGCCA